UACGACGGGCACAGCGACCUGCACGUGGGCAUCAGCAGCUCGCAGGGUGUGGUGUACAGCUACGACCAGGAGGGCGUGCACAGGGAUGCCAGGGGCUGGGAGCAGUGCAUCAGCAUCCCCCUGCUGCAG